AACUUUGUAAUGAUUAGUAGUUAAUAUAAACUAAACUUUUGGUAUGGUAAUUUUAGUGAACAAAUAUAAACUAAAAUCAAUUAAUUUUAUAACCCAGCAAGAAACAUUAAACUAUACUAGAAAUAGUAAUUUAAUUUAGUUUUUAAUCUAGACCAAUUAGGUGCCAGCAGUCGCGGUCACACCUGAUAGAUAAAUUAACAAACUCAGACUAGCUAAAAAGAAAAAACUUUUAUAUAUAGGUGAAAUUUUGAUAAAAUUAAGUCUCUCCUUCUUAAUAUAUUUUGCUCAAUCUCUGACAAUAAACUAGGAUUAGAUACCCUACUAUAUAGAGUGUAAAAUUUAGGUCUAAGCACUAUGACUAAUAAGUUAAAACUUAAACUACAUGGCGGCAGUAAGAAAUUUCAGGGGAACUUGCCAAGUUAAUGAUAGUCCUCAAGACAACACUACUCCUAUUUAUAAAAGUUUGUAUAUCGCCGUUUUCAGCCUUCAUUUUAGAUGAAUCCCAAAUGUAAAAUUACAAAAAGACAGGUUCUGAUGCAGCCAAUAUAGGAGACUACAGGUGAGUUACAAUAAAAACUAAAUAUAUAGACUUUCUUUGAAAGUGAAGAAAUAAAAAUGGACUUGAAAGUAAAACUUAUUAUAAAUGUUGUUUGAAUAUUUUAGCUAACUGUGCACAAAUCGCCCGUCACUUUCGUUGAAAAAUGAAAUAAGUCGUAACACAGUAGGUGUACUGGAAAGUGUACCUGUCUCUAU
rnacentral:ncRNA from 1 species